rnacentral:rRNA from 1 species
AGGAAUGUUGUAGAGAUACAGCAGCCGCUUGCGGUCUGUAGUACAGGUGCUGCAUGGCUGUCGUCAGCUCGUGCUGUGAAGUGUGGGUUAAGUCCCGCAACGAGCGUAACCCUAUCAUCUGUUGCCAGCAUUUAAGGUGGGGACUCAGAUGAGACUGCCGGUGACAAACCGGAGGAAGUGGGGACGACGUCAAGUCAUCAUGGCCCUUAUGUCCUGGGCUACACACGUGCUACAAUGGCCGGUACAGAGUGAAGCGAAACCGCGAGGUGAAGCAAAACGCAGAAAGCCGGUCUCAGUACGGAUUGGAGUCUGAAACUCGACUUCAUGAAGUUGGAAUCGCUAGUAAUCGCGCAUCAGCAUGGCGCGGUGAAUACGUUCCCGGGCCUU